AAAACUUUUUCGAAAGAAAAAAUCUGUUCUUAUCAGUUUAAUAUCUGAUACGUCCCCCAUCUGGGGACUACAUAUUAAAUGGAUUUUUAGAUCACAAUCAUCAGCCUGGUAUUGCAGUGUCUCCAGGAACGGUGUGCUUUCC
rnacentral:snRNA from 1 species